CAGGCUUAACACAUGCAAGUCGAGGGCAGCAUGGUCUUAGCUUGCUAAGGCCGAUGGCGACCGGCGCACGGGUGAGUAACACGUAUCCAACCUGCCGUCUACUCUUGGACAGCCUUCUGAAAGGAAGAUUAAUACAAGAUGGCAUCAUGAGUCCGCAUGUUCACAUGAUUAAAGGUAUUCCGGUAGACGAUGGGGAUGCGUUCCAUUAGAUAGUAGGCGGGGUAACGGCCCACCUAGUCUUCGAUGGAUAGGGGUUCUGAGAGGAAGGUCCCCCACAUUGGAACUGAGACACGGUCCAAACUCCUACGGGAGGCAGCAGUGAGGAAUAUUGGUCAAUGGGCGAGAGCCUGAACCAGCCAAGUAGCGUGAAGGAUGACUGCCCUAUGGGUUGUAAACUUCUUUUAUAAAGGAAUAAAGUCGGGUAUGGAUACCCGUUUGCAUGUACUUUAUGAAUAAGGAUCGGCUAACUCCGUGCCAGCAGCCGCGGUAAUACGGAGGAUCCGAGCGUUAUCCGGAUUUAUUGGGUUUAAAGGGAGCGUAGAUGGAUGUUUAAGUCAGUUGUGAAAGUUUGCGGCUCAACCGUAAAAUUGCAGUUGAUACUGGAUAUCUUGAGUGCAGUUGAGGCAGGCGGAAUUCGUGGUGUAGCGGUGAAAUGCUUAGAUAUCACGAAGAACUCCGAUUGCGAAGGCAGCCUGCUAAGCUGCAACUGACAUUGAGGCUCGAAAGUGUGGGUAUCAAACAGGAUUAGAUACCCUGGUAGUCCACACGGUAAACGAUGAAUACUCGCUGUUUGCGAUAUACUGCAAGCGGCCAAGCGAAAGCGUUAAGUAUUCCACCUGGGGAGUACGCCGGCAACGGUGAAACUCAAAGGAAUUGACGGGAGCCCGCACAAGCGGAGGAACAUGUGGUUUAAUUCGAUGAUACGCGAGGAACCUUACCCGGGCUUAAAUUGCAGAUGAAUUACGGUGAAAGCCGUAAGCCGCAAGGCAUCUGUGAAGGUGCUGCAUGGUUGUCGUCAGCUCGUGCCGUGAGGUGUCGGCUUAAGUGCCAUAACGAGCGCAACCCUUGUUGUCAGUUACUAACAGGUUCCGCUGAGGACUCUGACAAGACUGCCAUCGUAAGAUGUGAGGAAGGUGGGGAUGACGUCAAAUCAGCACGGCCCUUACGUCCGGGGCUACACACGUGUUACAAUGGGGGGUACAGAGGGCCGCUACCACGCGAGUGGAUGCCAAUCCCCAAAACCUCUCUCAGUUCGGACUGGAGUCUGCAACCCGACUCCACGAAGCUGGAUUCGCUAGUAAUCGCGCAUCAGCCACGGCGCGGUGAAUACGUUCCCGGGCCUUGUACACACCGCCCGUCAAGCCAUGGGAGCCGGGGGUACCUGAAGUGCGUAACCGCGAGGAGCGCCCUAGGGUAAAACUGGUGACUGGGGC
rnacentral:rRNA from 1 species